CAUCCGCGGCGGGGAGGGGACGCCGUUGGUGGAUGGGGAAGGGACGAGGCGAGGCGAGGGCGGACGGUGGUGGUGAGAUGCGGCGGCGGUAGGGGGCGCUGUCGGGCGACGGGAUGUGGAGGGCAGGACGAGGCCGGUGGUGCUGAGAGGAGGUAGCAGUAGGGGACGCUGUCGGGGGAUGGGGUGUGGAGGGCAGGCCGAGGCCGGUGGUACUAGAGGACGCCGCCAGGGGAUGGGGUGUGGACGCUGUCGGGGGAUAGGUUAUGGACGGCAAGCGGCGAUCGGUGGUGUGGUAGGGAACGCUGUCGGGGGUGACGUUGGGGACGGUAGGCGGCGGCUGGAGGUAGCGAGAGGAAGCAGCGGUGGAGGUGACGGACCCGAUUAUACGGACCGACGCAAAGCCCGCUUUAUUAGAACGCCCUCUGCCUGAAUUAAACGAAGACAAGCACGCCGUCCGCGUCAGAUUUUCCUCAUUAAAAAAAGGCUUCCUCAGACAGACAACUCUUCAACAUUAGUCCUAGGAGAAGGAGAGGAGAUUAUUAGAGGAGAAGGAGAGGAGAUUAUUAGAGGAGGGAAAACAUCCUUAACACGUUAGCCCCUUCUCUUUUCUAUCCAGAUCCCGUGUAGAUCUAUACGAGAUCAAUAACGUGUAGAUUCACUCACUUAGUUCGUAUUUCUCCUUUCUUUUUUUCUUUUUCUUUUAUAGGUGUGCUUAGUGUUACAUUCUAGUUACUGUAUUCUGAAUCUACACGUUAUGAAUACCGUGUAGAUCUACACGGAAUCGUUUUGACUUUUCUAUUUAAAGACAAACACGCCGCUCCCGACAGGUUUUCCUCCUUAAAAAAGACCCAGAUAAUUCCUCAACAUUAGUCCUAGGAGGGGGGAGAGGAAAUUAUAGAGGAGGGAAGACCUGAUCUCGACCGGAAUUAUUUAUCUCUCAGCCUCCUCAUCCUUCCCCGGGAGCAGCUAGCUUAUUCAACCGUAGGGACUAAACUAAAAACGGCCACUAAUCAGAGGAAACAACGCGGCCGGAUUUAUUCGUCUCCUCCUCAUCAUCCCCCUAAGCUUAUACCCGUCUAGUCCGUAGGCGGCGAACAGCGUCUAGGUUAUUCCAGCUAGGUUUAUCAAGUCCGCAGAGUAGUAGUUCUUGUCAAAAAAGUUGUUCUGGUCAACUAGACUAGUCGGUACUACUUCUUUUCUGCAGUGGCGUCUUUGUUACAUUUACGUUGUGUCUUUCGUUGGGAGUUGUUUCUGCGACGACCGUCGCUUCUUCAGCCUCUGUCCGAAUCGUUCGACGGAUUACUGUAAGAUGAGUUGUAAGACCUCUCCCACCUGUGCGAGCUACGUUAUUACUGGACGUAGGAUAGUUUCGCUUACUACUUCGAGAUGUGGUUCGAGAGCGUCAAGAAGGAUUCAACAUCAAGGUAAGAUCCAGUGUUACAAUCUUGGUUGUCACUUAUACAGUCUUGGUUGUCACAACACCGAGUACAUUGCCUAUUAUAGAACUCGUGUUUCUCAGGCCUCUAGUGGUAAUCGUUUGAGUUUUAGUCUAAGUAGAACUACGUUGGACUAACAAUGUGUUAACUGUUUAGACAGCGGGCGUGGUACCGUUGUGUCUUCCAACCACGUCGACUCAAACUCUAGUAUUGUCUCUUUUAAGUAUUCUUCACAAGAGGACGGCUAGAGGAGAUAGUACGCUUCGUCAAGUUACUAAAAAAGUCACGAACAGACCUACGUAAACGACCGGAGUUCGCGGACACCGACGCGUUAUACUCCAAACCACUUGAUCUGUAUGGGUUGUAGGAGUGGUGAACGUUCGAGAACCUCAGAAACGUAAAUUGGUUAACGCUGAGCCCCUACUUAAGACACCACGUUGAUCUUGUACGAUUUGAAUGACUCGAGCUCCAGCUCAUACCCUUUAAACUCUAUCAACUCGACUGUACAGAUGGUUUUGAGGUUGCCCACUCGAUAUUCCCGACCAAGUUGAGAGUAUUUCCAGGGGACAUAAAACCAAAACAUGGUGUCGAAAGUUUCGACUCCGAACGAUUUUAACCGUGGGCUGGUUGAUCCUGAGAACUCAAUUCAGUCGAGGAACCAUUACAAGGAAUGUAUCCGUUGGACGUAGACCUAAAAGUUUCACUUUUCUAAACCCAAGACGGUCUUUCGAGCUUCGACGAGUCCGGACACGAGUCGGUUGAUGUCGUCCACUUAGACCUGUUAGAAAGACUUCCUACACUAAAUCGAACCGUUACAAAUAAUAACUUCGACGUGGCAGGGAUUUUCUCGAGACGUAGUGUCAGAACCUAGUAACCACGUUAUACCACUACUCUCUGUUUCUCAAGGCCUUCUUGUUACCAAAGACACUUUUCCGUCUGCACCUCACCUUCGGUGGGGGGACUAAAGUUCGUGUUCUUAGACCAAUUCGAGUGGUAGAUACCGAAGGUUGGACUGCUGUAGAAACACGCUAAGUAGUCCACACAGUACCUUGUACGCCUAUUAUACCGUCUCUAUAGAGACGUACUGUCCUUCUUCCAUACAGACGCGACACCACAGAACCUAGGACUCUACUUCAUGGGUAGCUCCAUAGGUGCCUUACGACUACUUGCGUGUGUAUAGUGACUUCUUAACCCCUCCAGAAACGGACGAUACCAAGCGAAGACCUGCAUUAAUUGUUUUUCUCUACAUGAUGGAUCAUAAUCAUGAUCAAACGUUUAGGAGACUUGAUAUUAAAUCAUCAUGAGAACGAAAGGAAACUUAACUUCGAUACACUUCACAAACAGAUUACCUCUUUUAUAAAUCAUUUAAAAAUCUCAUAAAACUGUAAAAACCUAACCCUAUUCG
rnacentral:rRNA from 1 species